GUGUACCUUAAUUCCUCACCUGUAAAAGGGAAACAACAAUGUUUCUUUGAUUACGGGAGUGAUGAGCAGUAAUAUACUAACGACACCGGGACAGUUACCACGCACACACCCGCAACAGCUAACUCUGCAAUAGAUCUUGCACUCUCAUCACUUAUUUGCAUUUGUAUUCAAUGAACUGUUAAAGGAAUCGGACUAUCAGUACCCAGAUUCUGAUGGGAAAUGCCUGGGGAAAAGCUCAAACCGGACCAGUGGUCCAGGUACCACUCAGCUUCGUGGGAUCCCUGUCCAAAGCUGGGCUUGAAUGUCGAUUGCACAGCUAAUCCCUAUUUAAUUUGUAAUAGCCUGAAACUAAACCUCACCGUGUUACUAGGCAUAGGAAUCUGGAUUCGGUUCCCCAUUUUGUAGCUUGGGCCUAGGACUAGAAAUUACUCAGCUGUCUGCUUCAAUCUACGCUGAAGCUGAAGAUUUAUUUCUACAGGAGGCAGGGAAACAUAUUAUGUUGCCAAACUACUUCCAGUCUUUUCCAGAAUUACAAGUCAGGGGAUGGUGGAUGAGACAGUAUCAGAAGCACAGAAAAAAAGAGACCCAAUGAAUCAUCUAAGAACUUGAAAGGAAAUGAGAUAACCAAGAUGCUGGAACAAAAUACCUGCUAUAGCUCAGAUGGCCGACUGGUGAGCGCCGCUGUAGGGUCUGUCAGGCGCCUGCUUAAAAUCGCUGGAAGGAGCCAGGUCUACAUAACUGGGUAGUGCAAAGCCAGAUGAAGUUACAGGAGACGUUCAAAUCCCUGGCACCCGAAACGCACGCCUUGCCUCUGUGGGUGAGUUAGCGCAACACAAGAGCAGCCCCAAGACUGCUCUCUGCAGCCCCACACGCAGCAGGGCUGGGCUGCUGGUACCCCCAGCCGCGUCCCUGCCAGCUGCCACGCAUCCCCGAGGUCCGGCAGGGAGAUUUCCAAACCGAGGGAGGUUAAAAGGGUAAUGGUCUGAUUUUUACUCCUUUGGCUGUCGGUACGUGUCACUCUGCCGAGGCUGGUGGCACUGCAGCAGCGGUGGCUCGGCGCGGGCGCUGCCAGGGAGCAGAGCUGCGGCAGGGUGCAAAGCCCUGCAGCCGCCCCAGCCAGAUCCAGGAGAGCGCCUCUGCCCGUCUCUGCCAUCCAGGGCGAGGCAGCACAGCGGGAGAGCUCGAGCAGGGUGGGAAGAGGUGGUAGAAUGAGGGAAAAAGGUGGAAAAAGGCGGGAAAAGACCUGGGAAGCAGAUGCUGAUGCAAAUGAGGAGGGCCAAUGAGCAUCCUUUGGCCUCAGACACGACCUAGAAUAUCCAGAAAAAUCGACUGCAUCUUACUGGUGUGAGUGCAACCAAAGUAAUGCCUUUAAGUUUAACUAAUGUGUAGACUAUGGGAUGUUUAAUCAAAGAAUUGGAAAGAAAAGGAAAAAUGGUGUACAAAACAUCACAGGACUAAGUUUAGCGGUACCAGAACAGCUUUGUAAAUGCUUUCUUGUAGUUUUAUGUUAUUCUGAAAUCUGCCUCAGUCACCACUGAGUAUUAUAGUCAUCAGUCUUCCCUCCACUAGCAGGAAAACAAAUGCCAUGUUGGAUCCUAGUGCCGUGAGGUUAACAGAUAACCUUCAUAUUUUUUGAGAAGUCUUUCAGCUUUUCUGCCGCUGAAGAUCCUCUUCUACAGCUUAAAGUUGAAAAAUUUUUGUGGCAGAUUUGGCAUUGCCUGUAAUAAUUUAUGAAUAUGAUGUGUUGACAUGUUUACUGUGUGCAUACAUUGAGCUACUUCAAUAGCUGGGCUGUCAGGAAGAGUACCCAGGAGAGAGAAGAUGGAUCCGGGCAUACAUUUUUGAGGAAACACUUGGGAAACAAUGCAAGAGCGAGUCACUGUGAUGUUUUGGCUGGGCCCCUGCUAGGCUCACUAGAGAGAUUUCCCUGGGAGAAAUGUGGGCGCCUGGAAAGAAAGGUUCAGAAGACCCCAGAGAAUUAAGAGAGAACCAUUUAAACAGAGGUUUUGAGAGCGAGAAUCCAGGAGGAGUCCAAAGAGCUCAGAUCCGCAGGGACAUCUGAUUUAGUUCAAGCUGGUAAGACUACUAGAUAAAGCAGAUGUGUGAUUUUUUUUUUUUUUAACCAAUAUGCUUUAUUUCAAUGAUUAGCUAAGCAGCUCUUUGGUUUUGAAACUGUUGUUCUGGGUCAUGCAGGAAGACUGAAGGUCUCCGCUCUCUUCCUCAGCACACGUGCAAGCUCGGCAAAGGCACCGGUUCAGUAGGCUGGAGCUUGCUGCAAGCAUGCAAGAAUCAGGUUAUUCCAUGCACAGAAAGGUAACAGCCCAAGGCCUCACAUAAGUAGAGGGUAACUCAGAAAGACCACAGAUGGCCGGAGAUACGGCAGUAACCAUAACAACACCAGCAUCUUUCUUAUAAGUCCUAGCACGUAAUUCUACUAAUGACUUUUAUUAAACAUUUAAGCCUUA